AUUGAACGCUGGCGGCAUGCCUAACACAUGCAAGUCGAACGGAAACGAUGCUAGCUUGCUAGCAGGCGUCGAGUGGCGGACGGGUGAGUAAUGUAUAGGGAUCUGCCUAGUAGUGGGGGACAACAUGUGGAAACGCAUGCUAAUACCGCAUACGCUCUACGGAGGAAAGUGGGGGACCUUUCGGGGCCUCAUGCUACUAGAUGAACCUAUAUUGGAUUAGCUUGUUGGUAAGGUAAUGGCUUACCAAGGCGACGAUCCAUAGCUGGUUUGAGAGAAUGAUCAGCCACACUGGGACUGAGACACGGCCCAGACUCCUACGGGAGGCAGCAGUGGGGAAUAUUGCACAAUGGACGAAAGUCUGAUGCAGCAAUGCCGCGUGUGUGAAGAAGGCCUUAGGGUUGUAAAGCACUUUCAGACGUGAGGAAAAGUAAUAAUUUAAUAAAUUAUUACCUUGACGUUAACGUCAGAAGAAGGACCGGCUAACUCCGUGCCAGCAGCCGCGGUAAUACGGAGGGUCCAAGCGUUAAUCGGAAUUACUGGGCGUAAAGCGCGCGUAGGCGGAUAUUUAAGUCAGAUGUGAAAUCCCUGGGCUCAACCUAGGAACUGCAUUUGAUACUGGAUAUCUAGAGUAUGGUAGAGGUGAGUGGAAUUUCAGGUGUAGCGGUGAAAUGCGUAGAGAUCUGAAGGAACAUCAGUGGCGAAAGCGACUCACUGGGCCAUUACUGACGCUGAGUGCGAAAGCGUGGGUAGCAAACAGGAUUAGAUACCCUGGUAGUCCACGCCCUAAACGAUGUCAACUAGGUGUAUGGGAGUUUAACUCCUGUGUAUCGAAGCUAACGCGAUAAGUUGA
rnacentral:rRNA from 1 species